ACUUGCUCCGGGCAGGGGUGGCAGCGAAGCCUUUCCUCCGCGGGCAGCGAAGGGUGCGGAGAACCGUGCUGUUUCCAGCACCUUUCACGAGGGGUCAUCGUACACCAGCGCGCCUCUAAACAGCAAAGCGCUGCAGGAAACAGUCAGAUAGCGCAGGUGGGCGACCUCGAGGAAGAGCUGUGCCUGGAAGAGGAACAGGCAGCGGGUAUAAGGAGCUACUGCUUUUAAUUGGUGGAAUCGAGAAAACAUACAGAAGCAGAUACUGUGAAGAACUGGCGUCGAAUACAUAGGAGAGUUUAUGUUCCUCCCAUGAAACACUGGCAUAAAAGAUAAAAUAUAAUCUAUUUUACACCCAAAAUCUAAGGAUUUUACAUUUCUUCUAGUUUUUAUUUUAGGAAUUUCAACCUGUGGCAUAUGUGUG
rnacentral:lncRNA from 1 species